CCUGCCCUGAGGCACAAUGUAGACUUGACUGGUGCGUCACAUGUUUGUCAUUGGGUGACAGAGAGAAGGGUAUCUAUGGUUAUUCUCAAUGUUCUGACCUAUGAACCUUUGAAUAAAUAGGAGCCUAAAAUU